ACUCUUUUAGUAUAGAUACUAUUGUACAAUUGACUUCCAAUCAAUCAGACUCGAUAUAUUCUUCGAGAAAGGGUA
rnacentral:tRNA from 1 species